UGAAUAGCUAUGAUGGGAAGAGUAAUUCUGAACAUGCUUUUACAGAGAGCUUCGUUAGGUGAAAGGAAGCAAAGCAAAGACAGAAUGAACAUGGCCCCUGAGCUUCACAUCGAAAUCGAGCGAGAGUAGAAUGUGACGAGAUUUGGCACUCGUUAUCAAUGCCAGAGUAUAAGAACAGCGUAGGGCUGUGAUCGAAAAGAUUAACUUUUUAUCACUAAUCGUAUGACUGUUCCGUACUUAUGGAGCCUGGUAAUGUGAAUUACUAGGAAAUUAAGGUGGUACCACGAGUAAAGCUCGUCCUUUGA
rnacentral:ncRNA from 1 species